UUCAAAAUGCAAUGCAAGUCGCUUUGGAUAAAAGCGUCAGCUAAAUGACAUGUA
rfam:Gasterosteus aculeatus cont1.002973, whole genome shotgun sequence.